GGGGCUGGGCGGGGUCUCAGCUCCCGACAAGGCUGUGAGGCCAUCCUGGGCACGUGGCCCUGGACUGUCCCAGGGGAAGCCCCUCUCCACUUCCCCCAAUCCCUUCCCAAGCCAAGCCCAGCAGCCAGGAGCCAUUAGGGGUUAGAGGAAGACUGCAGAAAAGGCCAAAGGUGCAUCUGGUAGUUUGCCUUGCGAGCCCACACGGGUGGGUGAAGAAAUUCACUGGGUACUGUGCUGAGGGCAAAAAGUCAGGAGUUUUUAAGUUCUAGGAAAGCGGAGUUUAUGUUGGUUGUGCCCUCUAAACAGUAAAGGGUCCUCUGGAUAUGUAGGGCCGAGUCCACGGCUCUGCUCACACUUGGAUACUCAGUCUCAUUCCUCCCUGGCCAGCAGGAGCUUUCUGUUGGGUCCAGUUAGGGUCUGAGGCGCCUGGGUCCCACAAACUAGAUGGCCAUAGGGACGUCCGGAUUCAACCUGCUCCAAUUCAGCAGCUGCGGCGAAAAUAACAUCCAGUCGUGUUUUCUCCCAGGUUCUACUCUGAGUGGGCCCCACUCGCCAAGUACACACUGAAGCCUCACCAUUGUGCUCCCGUCAAAGCCCUGGUUUCCUCCAUGGGAGCUGGCCCUUCAGGACCUCUCAGCUGUGCUCCUGUGGGGUCUGGCAG
rnacentral:lncRNA from 1 species